GGGAGGGUAACUGACCUGCCCAAGGUGGGACAGCUGGCAACGGAAAGGCGGGGUGGAGGCAGGGACUGUCAUGGUGCUCUUUCUUUGAAUUAUAUUGAACUAUAAUUUGCCUUGACAACUAUCGAGUUGACUAGAUUAAAUCUUCCCAGAAACCACUGGCAAGAACAUCCACUGAAUGCUAUUUGCAAGAAAUGCAUUAAAAGACAUUCAUCAGUGAAAAGAGAGACUCCAGCUGCCCAGAAAAGCCUGAUGAAGUUUGCAAAGGAGAUGGCAGUGAGGAAGAGUCCAUGUGAGCCUUCUCAUGACCAUAUCAC
rnacentral:lncRNA from 10 species